UGGGGGAUUUUGCACAAUGGGCGCAAGCCUGAUGCAGCGACGCCGCGUGAGGGAUGAAGGCCUUCUGGUUGUAAACCUCUUUCUCUGGGUUGAAAGGCCAUGCUUUUGGUGUGGUUGAUUUGAACUGGUAACGAAGUACCGGCUAACUACGUGCCAGCAGCCGCGGUAAUACGUUGGGUACUAGCGUUGUCCGGAUUUAUUGGGCGUAAAGGGCUUGUAGGUGGUUUGUCGCGUCUGUCGUGAAAUCCUGUGGCUUAACCAUGGGCUGGCGGUGGGUACGGGAAGGAUUGGGUGCGGUAGGGGAGAAUGGAAUUCCUGGGUUGGCGGGGGAAUGCGCAGAUAUGAGAAGGAACACCGGUGGCGAAGGCGGGUCUCUGGGCCGUUACUGACACUGAGGAGCGAAAGCGUGGGGAGCAAACAGG
rnacentral:rRNA from 1 species